UGUGAAUAAAGUCACCCGCCUACUUGU
rnacentral:piRNA from 1 species